AUGAGACCGCAUUGAGGAUGGAAAGCACAUACAAGAUGCUCGAACAGAAACACAUGAUUUAUAAACUUCUGUGGUGGUCAGUUCAAGGUCAGUAUGGAUGGCCUGUCUCUGUAAAGUAUUGAUCCUGGGUGUGUCUGUGAGGGUGGUGCCAGAGCGUCGGACACCGUGUCUGUGGUCCAGGAACGAGGCUGAUCCUUGUUGGAUCCUGAGUCUGCAUUUGGAAGUAGGGGGAAGCAUUGUCCUG
rnacentral:lncRNA from 1 species